rnacentral:misc_RNA from 1 species
UUGUAAUACAGGUUUUGUAGUCUUUUAAGGUACAUUUUCUGUAGGGAUAGUAGCUGAUAUUCUCCCUCUUUCAAUUAGAAUAUUACAAAAUUAACAACAAAAUCAAGUACUGGUAACAGAAACUACACUCAAGAUGUGAAAAAUAUAUAAAAAAAAGUGUGAAGGUUUAACAUUUUCACAGUAAGAGGAGAAAUGCCAUAAGGAGAAAGACUGCCUGAGAGAUUAGACCAAGCUGAAAAAGUACGUUUGCUGAACUAUUAUCCGGUGUAAAGCUUCCCUCCAGGUUGUUUGUGGUCAAAAUUACGACUAUCCAGUUGUCGUCAGACCCAAUUCCAACACCAGUAAACUUGGUAUCAUUCAGAGAAGUAGCAUACUGGGACAUUGUAUAGUUGGAAAGAACGAGGUCUGGGACAAGGUUGGGAACACAAGCAGGCAUUAUCGCUGCAUCUCUGGUGGUUGUGACAUUCAAUUUGCACUUGGAUAAUAGAUUAGGAUAGUCAGAGAACUGAGGUUCAGUGCCAGGUACAGUAUUGGCGCCUGUUGUGUUUGUACAGGGUUGAUCUUUAAAUUGGUCAGCAAUUUCAUCAGCAAGGCAUUUUGCUUUGUCAUUCUCGCGCAGAGUUGUCAAAUUUAGGGUUGUCCUGUAGCUGUUAAUACUUCUAAAAAGGUUGUCUUCCUCAUCGUCAGAUUUGACAAAGGAGAAGAGAAGGGAAUUGAGAAGAAGAAGAGAAAGUAAAAGAUAACGUGGAAGAAACGCCAUUGUUGAUCCUCUACUUGUGAUUG